rnacentral:rRNA from 1 species
UACGGAGGGGGCUAGCGUUGUUCGGAAUCACUGGGCGUAAAGGGCGCGUAGGCGGCCCUCCUUGUCGCGUGUGAAAGCCCCGGGCUCAACCUGGGAACGGCGCGCGAGACGGGGGGGCUGGAGUUCGGGAGAGGAGCGUGGAAUUCCCAGUGUAGAGGUGAAAUUCGUAGAUAUUGGGAAGAACACCGGUGGCGAAGGCGGCGCUCUGGACCGAGACUGACGCUGAGGCGCGAAAGCGUGGGGAGCAAACAGG